rnacentral:rRNA from 1 species
GAUGAACGCUGGCGGCGUGCCUAAUACAUGCAAGUCGAGCGAACAGACGAGGAGCUUGCCCCUCUGACGUUAGCGGCGGACGGGUGAGUAACACGUGGAUAACCUACCUAUAAGACUGGGAUAACUUCGGGAAACCGGAGCUAAUACCGGAUAAUAUAUUGAACCGCAUGGUUCAAUAGUGAAAGACGGUUUUGCUGUCACUUAUAGAUGGAUCCGCGCCGCAUUAGCUAGUUGGUAAGGUAACGGCUUACCAAGGCAACGAUGCGUAGCCGACCUGAGAGGGUGAUCGGCCACACUGGAACUGAGACACGGUCCAGACUCCUACGGGAGGCAGCAGUAGGGAAUCUUCCGCAAUGGGCGAAAGCCUGACGGAGCAACGCCGCGUGAGUGAUGAAGGUCUGCGGAUCGUAAAACUCUGUUAUUAGGGAAGAACAAAUGUGUAAGUAACUAUGCACGUCUUGACGGUACCUAAUCAGAAAGCCACGGCUAACUACGU